AGACUGAUGAUGGUAUUCUUUGUCAUUCUUUAUCAACCUCUAAUGUAAUUGUGAAGGAUGUUCUUCCUGGGCAUACAAUAAUUCUAGGUUGGCCAGGUAUUUAGAUUUUGUUUUUUCCAACAUAUUGAGAGAAUCAUCCUAUGGUUUUCUGGCUUUUAUUAUUUCUGUUGACAUAUGUGUUGACAUUGUAAUCGCUGCCUCUUUAAAGGUACUUUGGCCUUUUCUUCGGUUGCUUUCAUUUUAUGAUUUUUCCCUUAGUCUUUGGAUGAGUGCAGUUUAACUAGGAUAUGUCUGGAGAUGGAUUUCUUUGUAUUUUCCUACUUGGGGUUUGAGUAGCGUUUCCAAACUCUGUGAAUUGACAUUCUUUAUCUGUUUUAGUAUAAACAUUUGAAUGUUAGAUUUUAAAAUAUGAUUCUGAUGCCAGGUGUGGUGGCUCAUGCCUGUAAUCCCAGCACUUUGGGUGGCCAAAGUGGGAGGAUCACUUG
rnacentral:lncRNA from 1 species